GACAGAGGGUGCAAACGUUGUUCGGAAUUACUGGGCGUAAAGCGCGUGUAGGCGGCUGCGUGUGUCGGGCGUGAAAUCCCAUGGCUCAACCAUGGAAGUGCACCCGAAACUGCGUAGCUAGAGUCCUGGAGAGGAAGGUGGAAUGCUUGGUGUAGAGGUGAAAUUCGUAGAUAUCAAGCGGAACACGGUGGCGAAGGCGGCCUUCUGGACAGUGACUGACGCUGAGACGCGAAAGCGUGGGGAGCAAACAGGG
rnacentral:rRNA from 1 species